UACGUAGGGGGCAAGCGUUGUCCGGAAUCAUUGGGCGUAAAGAGCGUGUAGGCGGUCCGGUCAGUCGGUUGUGAAAGUCAAGGGCUCAACCCUUGAAUGCCGGCCGAUACUGCCGGGCUAGAGUCCGGAAGAGGUGAGUGGAAUUCCUGGUGUAGCGGUGAAAUGCGCAGAUAUCAGGAGGAACACCGAUGGCGAAGGCAGGUCUCUGGGCCACUACUGACGCUGAGAAGCGAAAGCAUGGGGAGCGACCAGG
rnacentral:rRNA from 1 species